rnacentral:lncRNA from 1 species
GAGCAGCAGAGAUUAUAGCAAGGGAGGAAGAAUGGAGAGUUACGGGACGCCGCGGCCCAGGGAGAGGGAAUCUUGUAACAAUAAUGAGGACAAGACACAAGGAACAAGAGGAACCUGUGAGUUACUUGACAGAUAAGAGGUAAACGUGUAACUUAGACUGUAACAAAGGGAGAAGAGCCUAUGAAUUAAUGAACAGCGACGCAACCUUUUCAUUCGACUACCAAGGAAUCUCCGGAACAAAAAUGGCUUCUACUCAUGUUCAAAGGAAUUAAAAAAAGAAGAAGAAAAAUAAAACCAUAUUACUCCAUGUUCUUGUUUACAGUAAUGACCAAAUACUUCUGUGAUUUGUUAUUGUUCUGUUCUCCUUUUUUUCUAUAAGUUUCUAUUUACUAUUAUUACUAUUACCAUUAUCAUUACUGUAAUAAAUCACUGUCCUAUUGUUCUCCUUUUUUUGUAUUACUGUUUGUUACUAUUAUUAUUACUGUCACCAUUAUUUUUAUUAUUAUUAUUAUUAUUAUUAUUGAUGUUGGUAUUGUAUGUCUCAUAAUCACUACCUUUGUCUUAUUUUGGAAACUGAUAAUUUUUCUUCUCAUAAGUAGCAGAGCGUACAUCAUUACUCUACACCUUGUUAUUAUUAUUAUUAUUUUUAUUACUAUCAUUUUUCUUAUUAUUAUCCUCAUUAUUAUUAUUACUGUUACCAGUUUCUCAUUAUUAUUAUUAUUAUUAUUAUUAUUAUUAUUAUUAUUAUUAUUGUUGUUAUUGGAGGUGUCUCAGAAUCACUACCUUUGUCUUAUUGUGGAAACAUACUUUUUCUUGGUAAACAGCAGAGCGUACUAUACAUAAUUACAGUACAUUUUAUUCCUUUUCAAUUUUUUUAUGUUUUUGUGAAGUAAUCAGUGAAAAGAUUACACGUGGACGUUAGGUUUUGCUUCAUGAUGGUUUGUUACACUGUCUUGUUUAAUUAGUUCAUGUUCCGUUACCUCAUGUUCAGUCGACUAGUGUUACGUUGGUUUCAGUUACUCUAAUUCAUUAUAACUUCUGGCUUGUUACGUUUCGGGUUACGUUAAAACACAUUUGGGACGGUAAUGGUUUAAAGAGCGAUGAAACAUGAAUUAACUUGAAAAUAUAAGUAAAAUUUCGCCCUUAGUAAUUCUGAAAACACGUUAAUACUCUUCCUGCAGCCUUGACGCCGCCACACACCCAACACCACGCUUCAAAACACUUCAGUCCUCACUUCAAAGGCUUUACUUAAAGUUGGUCGUGUUUUUUUAAAGGUAUUUUUAUUGUUCUAGUGACAGAUCAACAAGAGUUCUACAUUGUGUGAUCAGGAGAACCAAUUUUCUGAACCCUGUGAAUGACUUUUGUGGCCUUUGAAAAUAGUCGUGGUGAGAGAACAUGCAUUUCUGAAUCCGACCAUCACUCCAAUGAAACACAGCUAUUUCCACAGGCAGGGAAUUGUAAAGAAUAUCAUUUCCCUUUAGCAACAUCCAGUAACGCACAAGGCUUCACGGACCCUGCCACUCUGCUUCACCCUGCUUCACGCCACCACGGAGCCUCGGACACACAACGAAUGAAGCACAAACUUGACUAAACAGGAAUGGAAAUGUAAAGAAUAUUAGUGAUCGUUAACAAGACCAGGCACUGAA